rnacentral:lncRNA from 1 species
GUGAUGGCACAGCAUCACUCAUGGGGAAGGUUCAUUCCGUCAAGUCUGCUGGGAAUGCGGGGCCAACAGGCCCAGGGCCUGGCACAUCAACAGAUAUCUUUUGUCAACUUAUCUCUCCUCCAAAAGGAUGAAUCUGGACUUUCCAACCCUUGGAUGACACCUUCACAUGCAGCCCACAAGGCCUCUGCUGAAUGUCACUUGCAGCCUAACGAGAAAGCCAUUCCUGGCACUAGAUAAUCGAUGGUCGUGGUUUGUUUUCAAAGCUCCUGGUAAAUUAGGUCUCCUGGAAGGCACCUUCCCCGAACCUUCCCCCACUGUAUUUAUGCUUAAUUCUUUUCAUUUUUCAUUGCUUCCCCAAAUUAAAUUUAUGUGUGCACUUGGCAAAUUGUUGCCAUUAGUGUAAACAUUCACUACAAGACAUUCCCCAAGUUCUGGUGCCUAGAGAUAUCGUAGUAAAAUGAAUUGUUCUCCCC